UGCUCGUUGGAUUUCUUGCUAAACGAUUCAAAGGUCAACCAUACCUAAGCAGUACUACAGCAAGUUCAUGGUACUUCAAUCCUGGAAUUCCUGAGGCACAGACCUACUACAACAGGUUGCAAAACAAUGACCUCCAGC